UAGGGAAUCUUCCACAAUGGACGCAAGUCUGAUGGAGCAACGCCGCGUGAGUGAAGAAGGUUUUCGGAUCGUAAAGCUCUGUUGUUGGUGAAGAAGGAUAGAGGCAGUAACUGGUCUUUAUUUGACGGUAAUCAACCAGAAAGUCACGGCUAACUACGUGCCAGCAGCCGCGGUAAUACGUAGGUGGCAAGCGUUGUCCGGAUUUAUUGGGCGUAAAGCGAGCGCAGGCGGAAUGCUAAGUCUGAUGUGAAAGCCCACGGCUCAACCGUGGAAAUGCAUCGGAAACUGUCAUUCUUGAGUGCAGAAGAGGGGAGUGGAAUUCCAUGUGUAGCGGUGGAAUGCGUAGAUAUAUGGAAGAACACCAGUGGCGAAGGCGGCUCUCUGGUCUGCAACUGACGCUGAGGCUCGAAAGCAUGGGUAGCGAACAGG
rnacentral:rRNA from 1 species